GACGAACGCUGGCGGCGUGCCUAAUACAUGCAAGUUGAGCGCUGAAGGUUGGUACUUGUACCAACUGGAUGAGCAGCGAACGGGUGAGUAACGCGUGGGGAAUCUGCCUUUGAGCGGGGGACAACAUUUGGAAACGAAUGCUAAUACCGCAUAAAAACUUUAAACACAAGUUUUAAGUUUGAAAGAUGCAAUUGCAUCACUCAAAGAUGAUCCCGCGUUGUAUUAGCUAGUUGGUGAGGUAAAGGCUCACCAAGGCGAUGAUACAUAGCCGACCUGAGAGGGUGAUCGGCCACAUUGGGACUGAGACACGGCCCAAACGCCUACGGGAGGCAGCAGUAGGGAAUCUUCGGCAAUGGACGAAAGUCUGACCGAGCAACGCCGCGUGAGUGAAGAAGGGUUUCGGUUCGUAAAACUCUGUUGGUAGAGAAGAACGUUGGUGAGAGUGGAAAGCUCAUCAAGUGACGGUAACUACCCAGAAAGGGACGGCUAACUACGUG
rnacentral:rRNA from 1 species